UGGCCUGAGUUUUGUCCGCUUUGAGCACA
rnacentral:piRNA from 1 species